GUGAGGAAUAUUGGUCAAUGGGCGAGAGCCUGAACCAGCCAAGUCGCGUGAAGGAUGAAGGUUUUAUGAAUUGUAAACUUCUUUUGCAGGGGAAUAAAGUACGGUACGUGUACCGUUUUGUAUGUACUCUGCGAAUAAGGAUCGGCUAACUCCGUGCCAGCAGCCGCGGUAAUACGGAGGAUCCAAGCGUUAUCCGGAUUUAUUGGGUUUAAAGGGUGCGCAGGCGGGUUGAUAAGUCAGCGGUGAAAGUUUGUAGCUUAACUGUAAAAUUGCCGUUGAAACUGUCGAUCUUGAGUGCAAAUGAGGUAAGCGGAAUGUGUUGUGUAGCGGUGAAAUGCUUAGAUAUAACACAGAACACCGAUUGCGAAGGCAGCUUACUGGGAUGCAACUGACGCUCAUGCACGAAAGCGUGGGGAUCAAACAGGAUUAGAAACCCGAGUAGUCC
rnacentral:rRNA from 1 species